rnacentral:rRNA from 1 species
AUUGAACGCUGGCGGCAGGCCUAACACAUGCAAGUCGAACGAGUGGCGGACGGGUGAGUAAUGUCUGGGAAACUGCCUGAUGGAGGGGGAUAACUACUGGAAACGGUAUCUAAUACCGCAUACCAUCGGAUGUCCCCAGAUGGGAUUAGCUAGUAGGUGGGGUAAAGGCUCACCUAGGCGACGAUCCCUAGCUGGUCUGAGAGGAUGACCAGCCACGCUGGAAAUGAGGCACGGUGCAAGCUCCUACGAGAGGCAGCAGUGGGGAAUAAUGCACAAUGGGCGAAAGCCUGAUGCAGCCAUGCCGCGUGUAUGAAGAAGGCCUUCAGGUUGUAAAGUACUUUCGGCGGGGAGGCGUUACCCGCAGAAGAAGCACCGGCUAACGCCGUGCCAGCAGCCGCGGUAAUUC